AACGACGUUCAUGGCGGAUCCUUCAUUUACCACAUUGUGUUAUUGUCUAGGUGUAACAGUACAAGCUAGAGCUAACAAGUUGCUGUGCUCUAACUGAUCAUAAGGCUGCAAUGCUUUAUGAAGCUACCUGAAGUUCUUGAAGACAGUGAAAACAUAGCAUGACUGAUACAUGGCAUGAAAUUAUUUGACUAAGUUGAGCCUUUCGUUCAUCAGUGUCGAUGGUCUGUUAUGACUUCUGGUAUGGUUGCAGCAUAACACCAUUCGAAGAAGCCGGCCUGCGCCAACUACUACAAAACAUUUAAAAUUCUGGCUACAUAAAACCAACACCUGUUCAGAAAGCUUCAGUUGCAGUUAUUCUUACCAAAGAGAUUUAAUUGCUUGUGCUCUCAUGGGCUCUGACAAAACGGUGGCGUACUUGGUACCAGUUUUGAACAUAUUGUUAGAACAAGGUGUUGCUGGUGCGUCUCAAGGACUCAAGGUGGGCGACUCAAGAAUUUUCUCGAGCGUGGAGUAUUUGACUCCACGGGGGUCAGGUUUUAAAUUUUGGACGGAGCUGAUCGAAUGCUUGAUAUGGGUUUCGGCGCCAAUAUUGGAAAAAUUGCCAACCAUCCAACGAAAGGAAUCCGUCGUGUUUGUAUGUUACCGGCUACAUUCCCAGAUGAAGUACAAGCGCUGGCUGCGACGUUCAUGGGAGACGACAUAUUCGUCACAACAGGCGUUGUCGGUGGCACCAAUCCGGAUGUUAAACAGCUGUUUUUUCCAGUGCACGAAAAGAAAUAAGAGAGCUAAGCUGAUCGAAGUUUUACAAGAUCUCGGUGAUGCCAAGACUAUCGUUUUUGUCAACAGCAAAUAGACGGCGGAUUUCGUCGCUGCAUUUCUCUGCAAUAACAACUUACAAUCUACCAGCAUCCAUGGUGAUCGUCUUCAGAAUCAACGUGAGCAAGCGCUACGUGACUUCAAAAAUGAUAUUAGGAAUAUUCUGGGGGCCACUAAUGUUGCUGCUCUUGGUUUCGAUAUUGCCGGCGUAAACAAUGUCGUAAAUUAUGACUUGCCAACGACUGAUUGCAUCAUCCGUAUGUAGCACGGGCAUUUCUUUUUAAUUUAGGCACUUAUCACGAAGUCUGUACGACGUUUGAACAUGGUGAUCCGAAUAGCUUGCCUCCUUCUUUUCUUUGUGUCCCUAUUGAAUUCUGCAGAGAUUCUACGUGAGUGUGAUAAGGAUAUCGACUGUGGGUCGGGUUAUUAUUGUUUCCUCUCGUAUUGUGAACGAUGCAUUCCCUGCGAUACCCAUUUCAAUCGCCAACCGGCGCGAUCGUUGACCGGUCAACCUAUUUGUGCCAGAUACGAAGAUGAUUGUGGAGUUUGCCUACCAGGAUAUCAAGCUAAGGAUUUAACUUAUCAACGGCGAUCGAUGACAUGCUUCUCACUGAACGAAACGGUCUCGACGUCUACCGGUUUUAGGUGGACGGGAAUCGUGUAGAUAGCGUCUGUUCUUUUUUUUGACAGUGGCUUUCAUCGUCUGCUUCCUCAAAUGUCGUCGUGCACCAGCUGUUUCCAACAACAAGGAUCCCAGAUUGCUUCCGUCUGCUCCGCCCCUCUACUCCCUAUACGAUGCAACAUUCACUGACGAAACGGAUGGCCUAGUUGUGGCAGAACCUGUUAGAUCCCCCGAACGGGUAGUUAUACAAGAAAACCAAGGACUUUACGAUGAAGCUAUUCCAGCCGGCUACUACGACGUUUUCAAUAAUCGUCUACACGAUUCGGAUGUAGAACCGGAAGAAGGGGAUCGCGUUCCAAUUCACGUAGCCGUUGAUUCUGAAGUCGAUGACGAAUCUAGUCAAUCAACUGAGACCAUUCCGUCACCUUGGGAACCGACAUCUUCGAUGCCGGACAUAUCCAACAAUUUCUUUAGAAGUCAAUCGUUGGAAAGAGUGCCUCGACCGGCAUCGACAAGUCAACUAGUCCGUUUGCCAAGCGAUCCGGAGAUCCUUUUGAGCAGAAGAAGAAUAGCUUCUGUUGGCGAAAGCUAUAGUCAUCGCACGUCAUCCCACGUCCUCAGCCAGUACCGGUCGGAAUCACAAACAUGAAAUCAAACAGAAUCGCCAAAAAUCUACGGCAGACUGUGAAUCUGAAGAUGAUUAAGAUCGUCGGGACUCUAGUUUGUCUGAAAGCUUUGAAGACGAUCAAGAGCCAGAUGCGCCGGAAGCUUUCCUUGUGGUGAGCGAUGAUCCCAGUUUUCCAUCCGUCAUUCUGGAUGUGUCGUGGCGUCGUCAGUCAAGAGCUCUGCAGAGUGUCUCCCGUUUCCUUGGAUCCGUUUUGAGUGAGCCUUCCAGUGAUCAAGGUUCGCAGGAUUCCGGAUUUUGAUAUCAAUCCCGAAGACGUUCGAAAACUAAAGAAGAUUUUUUAGAAGAGAACCGUAUUGACCUUAGUGCAAAAAAGCGGCGCAGAAACUGCUCAGAGACUGAAUAACUCGAAAUUUCUUGAAGUGCCAUACACCUGUUAACUUUAAACGAUGCCACAGAGAAACGUUUUCGUGCACAAAUUUAUAUACGGUGACAAUCAA